GGGAUCUUAGAAACAUUUAGAUAUUUAAGUUCAUAUUAGGAACAUAACAGUCAGUUCAAUCAUUUUUCACCUACUGGCCUCAUCGUCCUUAUGUUUGCUAAACACAUAGGGUGAAGAGAGAUGUAUGAAACUGGUCAUCAUCUUGCUUAUCCUCCUUUCAAGAGUUAUCCAAAAUACAUGCAACGGGGCCAUAUUUACAAGGGGGAGAAGACAAACAGAGCCCAUGAUAAUAGGGGUUCACUGGCUGAGUCAUUUGAUGUGCUACCUAUUGUUCUCUUCUGGAGGCUCAGCCUCAACCUGCCUGGGAGCGCUGAUUUUGAUGAUAGUGGUGCAGUCCCAAAAUGAUAAAUACCAUCUCUGAAGCAUGCAUUUCUGAAGAGGUGUACUGCUGCUUUCAUGCUAGCAAAACAUUUCCACUGCAGAGGAAAAAAUUGCCAAUGGCAUGGGUCUUAAAUUCCUUGAAUUCUAAAUUUAUUUAUUUUUUGGAGACAAUGUUAUCUGCCCAGUUUAUUUUAAAGUAAAUUUUACUGACUCAAUUAGACAGCAACACUCAUCCUCAUUAAAGAUCCUGCAGUCCUUUCACAAGAUUAGGGCUGGUGGCUUGGUCACAUUCCAAUGUGGAUAAUUGCAUUCUGCAUUCCUGGAUAUUUCCCUCCACCUUUCCAACCUCAUACCGUCAAAUGCAUUGUUAUUUACCCUUACUGCAAAUCAACAGUCCUGUUGUGGAGGCGCUGAGGGUUUGCCAUCCCCUCAGUUUGCAGGCUAAAGCAUCAGCCCAAACCACUGCUCCUUACACUUUUAAAAGAAAACCCCUUAGGUAAUGCAUAUUUUCAAAUAUGAGGCAAAUCUCAAUUAUGCACACUUAAUCAUAGGUUAAGGUUUUUGGUAAGUAAAAUAUUCUUAUUUUAUAAAGGAUGUUUAUUUUGGAAUCUUCUUUGAUUUAAAAAAUGUGUUGCUCGAAUAUGUGCUGUUUGCUCAAAGAAGAAAACAAAGUCUUCAGAAAUGGCAACAAAACAAACAAAAAAGCGAAAAAGCUCUUGAGGAAACAGCU
rnacentral:lncRNA from 1 species